rnacentral:rRNA from 1 species
GAUGAACGCUGGCGGCGUGCCUAAUACAUGCAAGUCGAGCGAACGGACGAGAAUCUUGCUUUUCUGAUGUUAGCGGCUGACGUGUGAGUAACACGUGGAUAACCUACCUAUAAGACUGGGAUAACUUCGGGAAACCGGAGCUAACACCGGAUAAUAUUUUGAACCGCAUGGUUCAAAAGUGAAAGACGGUCUUGCUGUCACUUAUAGAUGGAUCCGCGCUGCAUUAGCUAGUUGGUAAGGUAACGGCUUACCAAGGCAACGAUGCAUAUCCGACCUGAGAGGGUGAUCGGCCACACUGGAACUGAGACACGGUACAGGCUACUACGGGAGGCAGCAGUAGGGAAUCUUCCGCAAUGGGCGAAAGCCUGACGGAGCAAAGCCGCGUGAGUGAUGAAGGUCUUCGGAUCGUAAAACUCUGUUAUUAGGGAAGAACAUAUGUGUAAGUAACUGUGCACAUCUUGACGGUACCUAAUCAGAAAGCCACGGCUAACUACGUG